GAUGAACGCGGGCGGCGCGCCUAAUACAUGCAAGUAGAACGCUGAAGCUUGGUGCUUGCACCGAGCGGAUGAGUUGCGAACGGGUGAGUAACGCGUAGGUAACCUGCCUCUUAGCGGGGGAUAACUAUUGGAAACGAUAGCUAAUACCGCAUAAAAGUCGACAUCGCAUGAUGUUGACUUGAAAGGUGCAAAUGCAUCACUAAGAGAUGGACCUGCGUUGUAUUAGCUAGUUGGUGAGGUAACGGCUCACCAAGGCGACGAUACAUAGCCGACCUGAGAGGGUGAUCGGCCACACUGGGACUGAGACACGGCCCAGACUCCUACGGGAGGCAGCAGUAGGGAAUCUUCGGCAAUGGGGGCAACCCUGACCGAGCAACGCCGCGUGAGUGAAGAAGGUUUUCGGAUCGUAAAGCUCUGUUGUAAGAGAAGAACGAGUGUGAGAGUGGAAAGUUCACACUGUGACGGUAACUUACCAGAAAGGGACGGCUAACUACGUGCCAGCAGCCGCGGUAAUACGUAGGUCCCGAGCGUUAUCCGGAUUUAUUGGGCGUAAAGCGAGCGCAGGCGGUUAGAUAAGUCUGAAGUUAAAGGCUGUGGCUUAACCAUAGUACGCUUUGGAAACUGUUUAACUUGAGUGCAGAAGGGGAGAGUGGAAUUCCAUGUGUAGCGGUGAAAUGCGUAGAUAUAUGGAGGAACACCGGUGGCGAAAGCGGCUCUCUGGUCUGUAACUGACGCUGAGGCUCGAAAGCGUGGGGAGCAAACAGG
rnacentral:rRNA from 1 species